rfam:Marinobacter santoriniensis NKSG1 contig00017, whole genome shotgun sequence.
UAGCCGGGCUGUAGAGAUGCGCGGUUCGGCCGGAUUUCCAAGCAUCGCAACCAAUGAGGUGAAAUAUGGCACUUUCUGCCAAUGAAAAAGCACAGAUCGUUAAGGAUUAUCAGCAAGGCGAU